rfam:Musa acuminata subsp. malaccensis Doubled-haploid Pahang (DH-Pahang) genomic chromosome, chr6
GGGCGAUGACGAAUGUGAUUCAUCAACGUCUCGGUCCUCGUAACGGCGGCAUCGCCGCCUUGCCAACCAUCCUGAUAUAUCACCACCCAUAUUCCGAGUCC